rnacentral:tRNA from 1 species
GUCGCCGCCGGGCCGCAGGCAGGCGCGGCGGCCGCCGCUGGCGCCAGUGCCAAUGCCGGUGCCGGUGCCGGUGCCAGUGCCAGUGCCGGCGCGGUGAGC